rnacentral:rRNA from 1 species
CGGGGUUGCGGACAGUGUCUGGUGGGUAGUUUGACUGGGGCGGUCUCCUCCUAAAGAGUAACGGAGGAGCACGAAGGUUGGCUAAUCCUGGUCGGACAUCAGGAGGUUAGUGCAAUGGCAUAAGCCAGCUUGACUGCGAGCGUGACGGCGCGAGCAGGUGCGAAAGCAGGUCAUAGUGAUCCGGUGGUUCUGAAUGGAAGGGCCAUCGCUCAACGGAUAAAAGGUACUCCGGGGAUAACAGGCUGAUACCGCCCAAGAGUUCAUAUCGACGGCGGUGUUUGGCACCUCGAUGUCGGCUCAUCACAUCCUGGGGCUGAAGUAGGUCCCAAGGGUAUGGCUGUUCGCCAUUUAAAGUGGUACGCGAGCUGGGUUUAGAACGUCGUGAGACAGUUCGGUCCCUAUCUGCCGUGGGCGCUGGAGAACUGAGGGGGGCUGCUCCUAGUACGAGAGGACCGGAGUGGACGCAUCACUGGUGUUCGGGUUGUCAUGCCAAUGGCACUGCCCGGUAGCUAAAUGCGGAAGAGAUAAGUGCUGAAAGCAUCUAAGCACGAAACUUGCCCCGAGAUGAGUUCUCCCUGAGACUUAGAGUCUCCUGAAGGAACGUUGAAGACGACGACGUUGAUAGGCCGGGUGUGUAAGCGCAGCGAUGCGUUGAGCUAACCGGUACUAAUGAACCGUGAGGCUUAACCUUACAACGCCGAAG